CAGCUGGAGCGUCGGGAGCUGGAGGGGGCGCGGCGGCAGCGGGACCUGGAGCAGCGGCACCACCUCCUCAUGCAGCAGGACCUGUCGCAGGAGACGGUGGGCGGGGUCUUGGAGGAGGCGGGGCCUGAGGCCCCGCCCAUGGAGGGUUACCUGUACAAGAGAGCGAGCAACGCCUUCCGCACCUGGAGCAGGCGCUGGUUCUUCAUCCGGAGCAACCAACUGGUUUAUCUCAAACGGGCCCGGG